rnacentral:rRNA from 1 species
CAGCAGCCGCGGUAAUACAGAGGGUGCAAGCGUUAAUCGGAUUUACUGGGCGUAAAGGGCGCGUAGGUGGUUAUUUAAGUGAGAUGUGAAAGCCCCGGGCUUAACCUGGGAACUGCAUCUUAUACUGGGUAACUGGAGUGCAGUAGAGGGUAGUGGAAUUUCCGGUGUAGCGGUGAAAUGCGUAGAUAUCGGAAGGAACACCAGUGGCGAAGGCGGCUACCUGGACUGAGACUGACACUGAGGCGCGAGAGCGUGGGGAGCAAACAGGAUUAGAUACCCCGGUAGUCCCUGUCUCUUAUAA